rnacentral:rRNA from 1 species
GGAGUCUAACAUGUACGCAAGUCAUUGGGUUUUAAAACCUAAAGGCAUAAUGAAAGUAAAGAAUUGUUUUUAACAAUUUGUGGGAUGAUAGAUUAUCUUUACAUUUUAUGUUUGAUAAUCUCGCAAUCCUGGGGCGUCUCAUUCUUAUUGCAAGAAGAGGCGCACCUUGAGCGUAUACGUUGGGACCCGAAAGAUGGUGAACUAUGCCUGGCGAGGACAAAGUCAGGGGAAACCCUGAUGGAGGUCCGUAGCGAUUCUGACGUGCAAAUCGAUCGUCGGAGCUGGGUAUAGGGGCGAAAGACUAAUCGAACCAUCUAGUAGCUGGKUCCCUCCGAAGUUUCCCUCAGGAUAGCUGGCAUUCAUUGAAAAAUUAUUAAGAGUCUCAUGCGGUAAAGCGAAUGAUUAGAGGCCUUGGGGCCGAAACGACCUCAACCUAUUCUCAAACUUUAAAUGGGUGAGAUCUCAAGCUUGSUUAAAUGAAGCUGUGAGAUAAAUAUAUAUUAUUUAAUUUUCAUUCAUUAAAAAAUUUAUUGRCCAAAAAAUAAAAUGAUGAAAUUAUAUAUAUAAUAAGGAGCAGAGUGCCAAGUGGGCCAAUUUUG